GGAAUCUUCGGCAAUGGACGAAAGUCUGACCGAGCAACGCCGCGUGAGUGAAGAAGGUUUUCGGAUCGUAAAACUCUGUUGUUAGAGAAGAACAAGGAUGAGAGUAAAACGUUCAUCCCUUGACGGUAUCUAACCAGAAAGCCACGGCUAACUACGUGCCAGCAGCCGCGGUAAUACGUAGGUGGCAAGCGUUGUCCGGAUUUAUUGGGCGUAAAGCGAGCGCAGGCGGUUUCUUAAGUCUGAUGUGAAAGCCUUCGGCUCAACCGAAGAAGUGCAUCGGAAACUGGGAAACUUGGGUGCAGAAGAGGACAGUGGAACUCGAUGUGUAGCGGUGAAAUGCGUAGAUAUAUGGAAGAACACCAGUGGCGAAGGCGGCUGUCUGGUCUGUAACUGACGCUGAGGCUCGAAAGCAUGGGUAGCAAACA
rnacentral:rRNA from 1 species